GCCCAUGCCAAACGCCGUUUAGGAAGCUUCUCCCAUAAUGGUUCGAGUCACCUUGCAGUCGACGCGAAUUCACUAAGUGGAAUUUAGCCAGCUCGGGCUAACUCCGUGCCAGCAGCGCGGUAAUACGGGGGGGUGCAAGCGUAUCCGGGAUUUCAUUGGGUUUAAGUCAAGGGUGCGCAAGGUGGGGAUGUAAGUCAGUGGCGAAAUACUGCCGCUCAACGGUAGAACUGCCCAUUGAUACUGCAUCUCUUGAAUAUGGUCGAGGUAGGCGGAAUGUGUCGAGUCAUAGCGGUGAAAUGCAUAGAUAUGACACAGAACGCCAAUUGCGAAGGCAGCUUACUAGGCCAUUAUUGACGCUGAGGCACGAAAGCGUGGGGAGCGAACAGGAUUAGAUACCCUGGUACCAGUCCACGCCGUAAACGAUGUUCACUCGCUGUCUGCGAUACACAGUAGGCGGCUUAGCGAAAGCAUUAAGUGAACCACCUGGGGAGUACGAUCGCAAGGUUGAAACUCAAAGGAAUUCGCGACGGGGGCCCGCACAAGCGGAGGAACAUGUGGUUUAAUUCGAUGAUACGCGAGGAACCUUACCUGGGCUUAAAUGUAGAUUGCAUAAUUUAGAAAUAGAUUUUCCCUUCGGGGCUACCAUUUACAAGGUGCUGCAUGGUUGUCGUCAGCUCGUGCCGUGAGGUGUCGGGUUAAGUCCCAUAACGAGCGCAACCCCUAUCGUUAGUUGCCAGCGGAUAAUGCCGGGGACUCUAGCAGCGAGACUGCCACCGUAAGGUGAGAGGAAGGUGGGGAUGACGUCAAAUCAGCACGGCCCUUAUGUCCAGGGCUGCACACGUGUUACAAUGGCCGAUACAAAGGGCAGCUACCAGGUGAGCCCUGGAUGCUAAUCUCUAAAGUCGGUCCCAGUUCGGAUUGGAGUCUGCAACCCGACUCCAUGAAGUUGGAUUCGCUAGUAAUCGGAUAUCAGCAAUGAUCCGGUGAACACGUUCCCGUGCGGCCUUGUACACACCGCCCGUCAAACCAUGGAAGCUGGGGGUGCCUGAAGUCUGCAACCGUAAGGAGCGGCCUAGGGUAAAACUAGUAACUAGGGUUAAGUCGUAACAAGGUAACC
rnacentral:rRNA from 1 species